rnacentral:lncRNA from 1 species
AAAGUAAAAUUAAAAAAAAAAUCAAAUUAUACAAAGUUAAUUUUUUUAAAACUUAAAUUAAAUCGACAUUGUAGACCCAAUUUUCAGCCCGGCCUAAACCACCAGGAACCUAAAACCAAAUACAAGCCAAUUAAAGCCCAAAUACCUACAUUUAAGUCCAAAUCACAGCCCAAAUCAAACACCUAAAACAAAAUUACAAACCAAGCCCAAUUACAUAAACCCCAACAGCCCAAAAAAAUAAUAAAAACAAAAACAAAAACACCAUCAGCCGUCACAACCCAGGGCAGUCUCCAGGCACCGCACGUCUCGCGCUUCCUCCGCGUCAUGCGCUGCUCCACCAUGCCACAUCAGUGAUGCACUCACGCACGUACCUGCAAACAAGCUAAAGAGGUUGUAAAAAUCGGCUAUAAAGCCAAACCGAACCAAGUGUAAGGGGGGGUCUUUUUUUUGGAGAAAAAUAGCAGAAUACACACAAAAGAGGAAUCAAUAAAAAAAUCAAACUCAAAAUUCUAAAGGUUACUUUACUUCUUCUUUGGGUCUUUUUUUUUGCUUUAUAUUUACGUUUCUUUUUUCUUUCUUAUUUAUUUAUUGGGUUUUAUGCAAAUAUAUUUGAAACAAGAAUUAAAGAGAAGGUUUACCUGGGUCUUAGUGAUUUAGAACCCGAAUGCCGGAGAAAUGUGAAGGUUCGGGCAGGGGAUUUCAUCCAUGGCUAUAACAGUGGCCUUCUUUCUCGCCGAAUUUGGCUCGUGUAGAGAGAUUUCUCUCUGUUUUUAAAAAUGAAUAAAGAGGGUGAUGCUUUAAAUUUUUGGGUGUACUAAAAGUUUUUUUAAGGUUAAAAUAAAAGGAAACAAAUAAGUUUCAGUGGGUAAGGAAACAAAUCAGCAUUGGGGAAUGGAAUUAGUGCGCCUUUUGGCCUGGGUCCACGCGCAUUGUACCUUCCAAUGGGUAAUUUCCGCAAUCAGGCCCCUCCUUUGCGUUAGUCUUCAAUCGGGCCAUGUUAAGUUUCUUAAAUUAUUUUAAUUUAUCCCUGUAACCUACGCACUAUUUCAAUUUGGCCCUCCCCUUUAGUGCAGUAUUUUAAGAUUUGGGGCAUUUUCAAUUUCAGACCUCGAACAUUUAUGCGCAUUUAAUUUUAGCCCAAAAUUCUGUUUUAAUAAUUUGUUUUACUUAUAAAUUAUCCCCUGGAUUUUGUUUUUUCCUCUCAAUUAAAUUUCAGUUAUUUCUUUAGAAUAAUUAUGUUUCAACAUAUUAUUUUGAUUUCAUACUUUUGUGAUUUUUUUUUCAUGUGCGUACCUGUUUAUAUGGAAUACCUUUAUAUAUUAUUAUUACUACUAUAUGUAUUAUUUAUAUUAAGCUUUUCCUGUGUAUAUAUUACUUUAUAUAUUAUUUACUUUUAAUCUUUUAUGCAUAUUUUUUUUUUGGAAUUUCAUUUACGCUACAUAUUUUUUUUCCUUAUUUUUUUUAUUUUGAUACAAUUCAAGCUUUCAUUCAAAUUAUUUACUUUAUAAUAUUUAUUUUAAAAAUUCAUUUGUACAUUACCAUUUGAUAAAUUAUUUCUUUUAUUUUUUUCCCUAUUUUUUUAAAAUUCCUAUAUUUAUUACCUAUUUAGAAUUUUCUUAUAGUUUAUAUAGUUAUAUUUCCAAAUUUUCCUUUUCCUAUUAUUUAUUUUAUUUUAUUUAAAAAAAACUUGUUAUAUUUUAUUUGGGUGAUUUAUUUGAAACUUCUUUUAAAAUUGGUUUCUUAUGCAUUGACUCUUGGACAUAAAUGGUGGUAUUUUUAUAAUAUAUGAUGUGCUGUUAUUGCAUGUAUUCUAAGUUGUUCCUUUGCAUUUCCCUAUUAUUUUAGAUUAUUCAUGAGAUGUUAUUGCCAUGUGUUUUAUUCCUUAUGUUAUCAAGUUUUUUUUAUAAAAAUACAUUUCAUUUAUUUAUUACAUUUCAUUUGAAAUUUUAAAUAAGGCAACGUUCAGUAUUUGAAGAAUUUAAAGGAUCGUGCCCUAACGUACUGGGUUUCGCUUUCUUUGUUUGUUUUGAAUAUUCCGAAUAUCCUUUUAAAGCUAAAACGCACAUUUUAAAGGCAAUAUCACAUUUGAGGGUCGAAAAUGUUGUGUCCUAACGUACUGGAUGUAAUGUUUUACCUCAAGAUGAGAUAGUCUUUAAUACACAUUUGACUUGCCUAAAUGUUUUAAAAGCCAAUAAAAGGAGGAUCGCAUUUUGAACUCUAUUCAAAUUUUUAAUUUUCGGCAUUUAAGACACUAAUUAAUUGAUUAAGUACCAAUUUUGGGCGUGUCGAGGGUGCUAACCCUUCCUCGUACGUAACCGACUCCUGAACCUGUUUUCUUAAAAUUCGUAGACCAAAAUGUUUUAUAAGGUGGCCCAAUUACACCUCAAAAAGGAUUAGUGGCGACUUCCAAUUUUCGUUUUCAAAAGUCGAUUCCCGUUUUUCAAAAAAUGGUUUCGACAGCUUGGCGACUCCACUGGGGACCAAUAAGAGAGUCGAGCUGUAAAUUGAUUAUUUUCUGUCUUUUUGUUGAAAUUUAGAAAUUUAGUUUUCCUAAAAAUACACGAUCAUCGCUUUGUAUUUUCUGUGCCAUUGUUGAGUUUGUUUUUUUCCGUUGAAUUUCUUUAUAUACUCUCGUAUCAUAUCGCAUGACCGUUGUGGUCACACCUUUUAAGUGGGAGUGAGAAACUAUGCUUUUGUGAGGUUUUCACCUCCGCAUGGGCUAGGGGAUCGCUUCCGGAAUACAUCUGUACUUAUGUCUUCGUGAGGUUUUCAUCUCCGCAUGGACAUAAGGAAAUGUAUUCCCCUGAACCAAACUUGAUCCAUAUGAACCUAUAAUGGGUGAGGAUCGAGGAAUCUGCUAGUUCAAGUACUUUUACUCUAGAACUAAACCACAUAUAGUGAGCUGUAGGAACCCGCCUUAGGUAGAAUUACAGCUAGCCUUAGUGGUUGCCCGAAUAGGCGUUUGAUAAUUUCUUGAUUGCUUUGAUUUCUAUUCUUAUGCAUGAUUCUGACUUGUGUUUUUCCUUCUUUCUUUAAUAGUGAUUGCAUAACAUUUUCAUCAUAAAAGGGAGGUGUCGAUAUACGGUUCGGUUACUAAUAGAAAGUUUUGCCAUGAAGAACGAAUUCUUUGAUAAAGUGAAAGACAACGCGUUUGUCCAAAGAUGGUCGGAGAAUGCACAGUUAGAAAAAGGUGACAGUUUGACAGAGGGGUACACGUCGGAGUUAUGGGACUUUACCCGUAUUAGUGUGGUUCAGAAUGAUCUUUAAGAGUUGAAAGAAUUAUGGAGUCACUGGGAUGAGGAGAUGAAGCAACUACUCUACUGUAAUUAUGGUGAUAUUCCUUAUCUCCUCGAUGUUAAGGUAGAUAGGUAUUUGUUCCGCACCAUGGCUCAAUUUUAGAAUUCCGCCUACAGUUAUUUUACUUUUGGAAAGGUGGAUCUAGCACCUACUGUCGAGGAAUAUACAGCCUUGCUUCGUUGUCUGAGGUUUCAAGUUGAUAAGAUUUAUUCUAGAGCUGUCAAUACCCCAACCUUUGUAAAGAGGUUGAUGAAUAUCACUGGGAUGAGUGAGCAGUGGGUUGCAGCUCGAGUCCAGCAGAAAGGCAGUGGAAAGUGCAUCCCUUGGGAGAAUUUGAGAGAGUUGAUCCUGACACACCUUGAUAUGAAGAAAAGAGUUGAUGUUUUCGCCUUGAGCGUUUAUGGUUUUUUUUAUUUUCCCUAAGGCUUUAAGGCAUGUAGAUGAAGCAGUUGCCGAUCUAUUUGACGGAUUUGGUAAAUGAGUCACUCCUGUUCCUGCAAUCUUGGCUGAGACUUUCAGAUCUUUGAGUGCAUGUCGGAGGGCAGGUGAAGGAAGAUUUAUUGGGUGUGCACAACUCUUGUUAGUAUGGUUUCAUAGUCACUUUUGGAGGGUAGAAAAGGCCUCUUACCGACCUUUUCUUGAAGAUUACUCACCUUUGAAGGAGUAGUAACCAUAUCGAGAAGAGAUGACAUAACAGAGGAAAAAUGGAUGGCGAUACUUCAAAAUAUCCAAGAGGAGGAUAUCGAAUGGAAGGCCCCUUGGAUGGUUUCUGAUGAGAUUCUCUACCGAUGUGAGAGUUAUGAUUGGGUCCCUUUGUUGGGGAUUUGGAGAGCCGUUGGAUACGCCCCUCUGCUUGUAUUGAGGUAAUAUAGAUCGAGACAAUUUAUACCGGUGACGCAUGGGCUAGCUCAGAGUGGGUUCUCGUAUAGAGAGAAAGACUCCAAGAAAAAGAGCCGCGAGAGUUAUAAUGCCUGGAACCAAACCUGUCGGAUAAAGGGAGUUGCUAUGAAUCCAAUGGUGACUCUUGAAUAUAAUGAAUGGUGGAGUAGAAGGGUUAACGACAAUAUCCCGAGGCCAAAUUUAGAAAAAGCUCGACCGAUAGAGGAAUAUCUGCGAGUGGUCCCCUCCGAAUUGGAAAUCAUAAAGCAAGACUUCGAAAAGAAAACCUCGGAGUUAGAAAGGAAAAUAGAGAAGUUGGAGGAGGAAAAAGUAUACUUAAAGUUGGAUGUUGAUGUUCAAAAAUCCGAGGCUGAUAAUUUGAGAAAGAGAAAGAGAGAGGUUGAGGAGGACCUGGACAGUAUGAAGACUGAUUACAAGCAGCUGCAUAAGUCAAUGAGAAAUGCUGGCUUGGGUAAAACGUCUGAACAGUGGAGGCAAGAAAUCCAAGAGGAAAAGGCUAGGGCUGAUUGGUGGGAAAGAAAGUUCCACGAUGCUCAGGCUCGAGAAGUCGCUUGUAAAAAGAGUUUAGACGAUAGCCAGAAUGAAAAACAGAUGUUAAGAGCUUGGGUGGCAGAGUUAGAAACGACACUACAGCAACAUCGGAGUCGUGACUCAGUGAUUGAAUUAAGGGCUAGCCUAAGUAAGAUCGAGAAUUUGAAGGGGAAAGUAGAAGAACUUGAGACUACACUUCAGAACUGUGAAUAUCAAAUUAAAUUGUUGGAAGCAAAUAAUGACUCACCGAUCUCAGGAUCAGGUCUGAGAUAGGGAUUACUUAAUGGGCGAAGCUAUAGCUCAGAUACGAGAGGUGGCUGAUCAUUUACAGACUUUGGCGGUCCAAGCAGAUGUGCUAGGAGUUAAAUAUGAGUUACAGUCAGAUCGAGGGCGAGAGUUAGCCUACCUUCUUAAGAAAGUAAAAGAUUUAGGUGUUAGGGCAAGACCGUAUAUGUAAUUCAUUUUAUAUAAAAGAUUUUGUUUUUCAGUAAAGUUUUCUAAAUGAAAUUGAAUGCGAAUCGAUGUCUUCUUUUUGCAUUCAUGUCAUGCAUUUGCAUUGCAUUACAUCGCAUAACAUCAUAUACACAAAAGAACCCUAUUAAUUAGUGGCCAUUUAUCUAGUUACCUUGGAACACCGGUACUACACACGAAGGAAAACAAAGGAUAUGGAUCAGAGGUUUGAGCAAAUGCAAAAGGAGAUGCAAGAGCAACUGCAAGCUCAGAUGCAAGAGCAGCUGGCUAAAAUCCAGUAGGAAAUGAGAGACCAAAUGCUGGAGUCCCAGAGAAACAUGCUAGAAUCACAAAACAACAUGAUAAGCCAGCUGACACAGCUGUUUAAAGGAGGGUCUGACAAAGGAAAAGGCCCUAUGGUUGACACGGGAAAUGACAAUGAGGAUUUCGCUUUUCCUACAAGUUUUGCACCAGUGAACAUGCAAACAUAACCACCAAGGGUGUCUGUUAAUGUCCAACCUCUUUAUCAAACUGGUACCUCGGCACCAAUAACUUCCCAGCAGGAUCGAGCACCAACCCUGGAGAUAAUCUGGCAAACCCCCUGGUCCCUGACUUUGACAACGCAGCAGAGGUAGAAAAGACAAAGGCUGAGGUCCCAAAACAAUUUGAGGAUCGAUGCAAAUGGUUGGAGGAAAAGUUCAAGGAGUUAGAGAAUGCUGAUCAUUACUGCGGAAUCGAUGCAAAGGAACUGAGUUUGGUCCCGGACUUAGUACUUCCCCCGAAGUUUAAAAUGCCGGAGUUUGAAAGAUAUAGCGGAACCAGCUACCCUGAGGCUCACAUUACGAUGUUUUGUCAAAGGAUGACGGGGUAUGUCAACAACGAUCAACUGUUGAUCCAUUGUUUUCAGGACAGUUUGAGUGGGGCUGUAGCGAAAUGGUACAAUCAAUUGAGUAGGUGUAACACUCCAAGCCUAAGUCCGAUCGCCGGUUUAGGCUAUAAGGUAUUAUUGAGCUAAACAUUUAAUUUUUCAUUCACAAAAUUAACAAUAAAAGCAGAAAUUUAGCUGAAUACAUACUGAACCUUGAGUUAUAAAUGUCAUUUUCAUAUAGCCAAAAUAUUUACAAUUACAAAACAUAUUCGUCAACAGCCUAAUCUAUACAUGCCAUAUCGAGUCCAAAAUAUAACUGUACCAAAAAGAUCGAUAGUAUGAAGAACUGCUGACGAUCCCCGAGUCGGCGGCCAGAGUCAACAAUCUAUAAAACAGAGAAAUAAGAAUUUGAGUAAGCUUUCGAGGCUUAGUAAGUUUUAAGCAAUUUAUACUAUUAAAGCUUGUCAUUAAAAUUGAACAUUGAGAAUCACAAAACUUGUAUUCUAAUUGUAAUUCACUUGACCAAAUAUACACCAGCACAUUAGUUACAAAACCCAUUGGCCGAAUAUAUAUGUAUAUAUACACAAGAAACUUCUUGCACAUAUUUUACUAUUUACAAAGAUUAUACUAAUACCUUUAAUUACGUUCUUUCAUAUGAUGACUUACAAUAACCAAUUAUAUUGUUUUCUUAUCCUCAAAUACCGAAUUCAUUCACACACACAUAUAUAUAUCGUUCUUUGAUAUUAGUAAAUCACUUAGAAAUCAAUUCAAAUAUGAGUACAUAACACGAACCUUAACGUGUAAAAUAUAUAAUACUUAUGCAACGAUGUUUACCACUGACAUUCGAAGUCGCAAUCUUACUUAACUUACUGGCAUCGGUUUUGUCAAAUCUUAAAGCUCGGAAUACAUUACUAACAUAAGCCUGCGGGUCUUUAACCCAGAUAUUUUUCCAGUACGUAGCCUGCAGACCUCAAGUCCGGAUAUAUUUCUAGCAUAUAGCCUGCAGAUCUCAUGUCCGGAUAUUUUUCCAGCAUAUGGCCUCGGACCUCAUGUCCGGAUAUUUUUCCAGCAUAUAGCCUGCGGACCUCAUGGCCGGAUAUUUUUCCAAUCUCAUAUAUAUUUGAUCAUAUUUUAACACAUCUCAGUCAUCUUAUCACUUAAUAAUCGUAUAUUACAUUCGAAUAUAAACUCGAUACGCACAUCAUCAUUCACAUUUCAGCUCAAUGGUUAUAUCUCAUAUCACUCAUUCUCUUCACCAUUUAAUCUUAAAUUCAAAGUGACCAUCAAACUAUAAGUCAUAUACAUGCAUUAUCUAUUAUACAUCUUAAUUCAAGUGCAAGCCAAAGAUCACAAUUUACCUACUAUACUCUUAUAAUGGCAUCGUCAAUUAUAUACUAAAGGAAACUACUUAAGACUUACCUUGGAUAUUUUAAACAGUUGCGGGUAAUCUACUCGACUGCUUUCUCCUUUCCCUUAUCUGAUUUAGACCCUCUUAGCUCUUGAGCUUGAUUCAAACAAAUAGAUCUAUUUAAUUUCUUAUCAAUUUAACAAUUCGAUUUAAUACAUGUAUAUCGUGCCAUUAAGUACAAAUGAUUUUAUUAACUAGCUAUUUAAACGUCAUACAUAUGCUCUACUCAUGCAUAAUCGAAAAUAUUACUAGCGUAUUACCUUGCAUUUUCGAAUUACAUAACCAUCACUUAAUUUCAUAAAAAAAAAUACACAUAUUAUUUCAGAUUAACACAAGAAUCAGAUGCAUCACUCAAAAUGCCAAAGUCCGACUAAGUCUACCAUUAUAGCAUUAUCAAGUUUAUGUAUUUGGUAAUUCACAUUCAAACACAUUCGGCAUUAUGUAUCUGAUCAAAUGUUUCAUUUAACGCUAAACUCAACUUAUAACCUUCCCUAAUUAAAACAUUCAACACUGACUAGACAUGCUUACAUGCCUAAGCCGAAUAUCAUUUUAGACAUUUGAGAAAUCAUUUCUCAAUUCAUCUUAUUAGUGUUACCUCACUCAAAACAUUUACACCAAUCCAUUAUAAUUAAAACCCUUGUUCAAAAUAAUAUUCACUAUAAUACUAUGGCCGAAACUCCCAAAUAACUAACAUAGUCUCUUAGAUUCAAUAUAAUCACGAAUAUAUAUAUAUAUACAACCUAAAUUCCUCUCUUAACACAUAAUUUACUAUCUUGGAAUUCAUUUCCUAACUAAAUUAACUUACUCCAAAGCCGAAUGCUACUUAAGCAUUAAGCUCAUGUUCUUUUCAUUAUUAAGCAAUUUUCAUAACUCAACUAACAUCCAUUUUCAAUUUAACAUCAACAUUAAAAAAAAUUUAACACAAAAAUUCAUAGCCGAAUGUUGUUUAUUUUAAGCUACCAUUAUAUAAUUACUUAUCACUUCAUACCAUAUUAUCAAAAUUGAACUAAUUAUACUUAUAUAAGUACUAUCAAAGCCGAAACCUAUGCAUAGCAUUAUUCAAGAUUUAUACCCUUAAAAUCAUUUACAAGGCCGAAUUUGUUCAAGUAACUCAACAAGUCCAAGUUCAUCUAUUUCAUAUAUAAAUACUAACAAUUAAGUAUUAACUAGUUCAAACUUCAUUUAACCAUAAGAACAACAAUCUAUCCCCUUCAAUUUCUCCCAUGGCCGAAUGCUCAAGACACCACACAACUCAAAAUUUUGUCAUGGGUUAAGUAAAGAACUUAAUAACUAACUCAAAAUAUGCUAAAAAUCCAAGAAUUAACAUGAAUUACUUACCUUAUUUAAAGUUCAAGAUCACUGAAUGGUUUGUUCUUUUCCUUCUUUAAAAUCGGCUAGGAAGAAACAAGGAUGAAUACUUUGUUUUCUUUACCCAUUUUCUACCUUUAAUUAUUAUUAUUCUAUAAUUUAAAGCCAUUUAAUUAAAAAUAAUGCUAAUAGAAAAUUCAUAUAUUUUAUACUAACUAACAACAUGGCCGGCCACUAUCAAAAAUGGGUAAUUUGACAUGCAAAACCAUUCUUUUCAAUACAUACAUUAUUAGACCACCUUUAAAAAUUACCUAUCAUCUUUCACAUUUUUCUCACAUAAGUCCCAUUUAAUAAUUUCAUAUACAAAUGACAAAAUUAAAGCAUGAAACUUUCACAUAUGCAUGUACACAUAUAAUAAGCAUAGAAUAUAACAAUUAAUUAUUUUUGUGACUCGAUUUUGUGGUCCCGAAACCACUUUCCGACUAGGGUCAAAUUAGGGAUGUCACAGUAGGACCUAAGUCAAGUCGUGGAAGGACCUAGCUCAGGCCUUCAUGAAGCAGUAUGGCCAUAUAACGGAUAUAGCACCUGACCGGAUCACACUCCAGAAUAUGGAGAAGAAGCCAAGUGAAAGCUUCUGGCAGUAUGCUCAGAGAUUGAGAGAGGUCGCUACACAGGUCCAACCACCAUUGCCAGAAAAAGAAACAACCAUGCUCUUCAUCAAUACAUUGAAGGCGCCUUUCAUUACUCACAUGUUAGGUAAUGCAACAAAGAGUUUCACGGACAUAGUAAUGUUUGGAAAAAUGAUAGAAAAUGCCAUAAGAUCGGGUAAGAUAGAAGUUGGGGAGAACACGAGAAGGUCAGCCCCGAAGAAAAGAGAGAAUGAAGUAGGUAAUGUGAGCUCAGGCUACGCAAAACCUGCCACUGUUAAUCAGUCAAGGGCGAUAAUCACAGGCCAGCAGGCCUCACCAAGGCGGGAGCCUAACACGAGACAGAAUACAGAGAAAUUUCAAUUCACUCCCAUACCAGUGACAUAUAGGGAGUUGUACAAAAGUCUGUUUGAUGCAUAUAUAGUGGCUCAUUUCCACUUAGAGCCGUUGCAGCCCUCAUACCGUAAGUGGUACGACGUAAAUACUCAGUGUGAAUACCACACAGGGAUUACGGGGCACUCGAUAGAAAACUGUACCUCGUUCAAAAGGUACGUGAAAAGGCUUAUCAAAGCAGGUGUUGUAAAAUUCGAUGAUACACCUGGUACGGGAAAUCUGUUGCCCAGUCAUACUGAUAAAGGGGUAAACGCGAUAAUUGAGAAUAUGGGGAGGAAAGUCAAGCUGAAUUUCGCGGAGGUGAGAACCCCAUUGAAGCUAGUUUAGAAGGAAAUGCAGAAGAGAGGUUUAGCCCUGCAGGGGUUGGGGGAUAAAAUCUAAUAUACACAAAACUACUGUGAGUUCCAUCAUGAGAAAGAUCACGAGAUCUAGAAUUGUAUUGAGUUCAGGGCCCUUGUACAGGGUCUAAUGGAUAAUAAGGAAUUGGAGUUCCUCGAGUCUGUUGAAGAGGGGGAUGUAUGCUCUCUAGGAGGAGAGUCAAGUGAAGAAGGUUGCAGAGCCAGCUGUCCAGUGAUAAUUAUUUCGAAGCCCAGAAUUAGUGAAGUAGAAGCAAGAGUUACACCAAGAGUUAUAAUCCGGAAGCCAACAGCUUCCCCUUAUAAAGAUAGCCAUAGGGUGCCUUGGAAUUAUAAUUGUAGUAUAGCAGUUUUAGAGAAGGAAGGUUUGAUUAGCACGCCAAACACAGAAGGUAAACCAGUAAAAGGGAAACCCGUCAUACUCAAGAAAGAAGUAGAGAGAUCAGAACCACUGGUUAAUGAGCCAGUAAUGGAAAAUGAAACCAAUGAGUUCUUGAAGUUCCUAGGACACAGCGAGUAUAGUGUUGUGGAACAACUACACCAACAACCGGAUCGCAUAUCGAUAUUGGCUCUGCUGUUAAAUUCGAAGGUCCACCGCAACGUAUUGAUGAAAGUGUUGAAUGAAACCAAUGUUGCGGAUGACAUUUUGGUUAACAAAUUGGAUCGUCUCGUCGGUAACAUAAGCGUUAAUAAUUUCAUCUCCUUCAGCGAUGAUGAGAUACCACUAGGGGGUAGAGGGUCUACUAAGGCUCUGCAUGUCACUACACGUUGCAAGGGGUAUACGCUACUCGGAGUACUAGUUGAUAAUGGGUCCGCAUUGAACGUAUUGCCUUGGGCUACGUUAAACCGUUUACCUAUAGACAGUUCUCAUAUGAAGACGUGUCAGAACAUAGUAAGAGCAUUUGAUGGCACAGAAAGGAAAGUAAUGGGAAGGAUAGAGGUACCUCUUCAGAUUGGCCCAAACACGUGCGAGGUAGAUUUUCUUGUGAUGGAUAUUAAGCCUUCCUAUAACUGUCUAUUAGGAAGACCUUGGAUUUACUCAGCUGGGGCAGUGCCAUCCUCGCUGCACCAGAAGCUAAAGAUGAUUACUGAGGGACAGCUAAUAACAAUAAAUGCGGAGGAGGAAAUUAUUGCGUCAGUUACCAGUGAUGCACCCUACAUAGAGAAUGAUAACGAAGCAUUUGAAUGUUCAUUUCGAUCAUCAGAGUUUGUAAACGCAACGUUUAUAGCUGAAGGAAGCAGGAUUCUGAUACCUAAGAUAUUAGGGGCUACGAAAAUGAGCCUGCAGCUGAUAGUUGGGAAAGGGUCGUUACCUGGCAGAGGACUCGGGAGGCACCUCCGUGGAUAAGUUAGAGUGUCAAUCUUGGUUGGCAAGUGGGAUCGCUUCGGUUUGGGAUUCAGGCCAGAUGCAAGCCAAGUGAAGAAGGAGUUUGAAAGAAAACAAGAACAGCGGAGAGCAAAGAUUGAGUGGGACAGAAGUCAGGUGGGAAUCGAUGAACUUCCCCCACAUUUCCCAAACAUUUGUAUUUGAAGGGUUUAUUCAUUCUAUACAUUAUAAGGUGAAAGAAGGAAUGGCUGAAGAUGCGAUAGGAAUUUGAAGCAUCAAUGCCACAUUUGAAGAGGAAGCAAUGGAAAGGAAUUUAUCAGACAUUUGCCUGUAUGAGCCUAGGAGUGUUUUGGAUAACUGGACUGAGGAAGAAAUUCCUGUAAUCUUUAGAGCUAACACAGAGUAAUAUUCAAAACCUACCUGUUGUCUUCUAGCCUAGGGACAAUAAGAAUCUUUUGUGAAAUAGGCUCAUGUUCAAACAUUAUUAUUUUCAAUAAAAAAUGCAUUUUCAUAUAUCGGUUCGAGCAAUUAUUCUUUUUUCCUUUUCAUUUCAUACACAAUCAUACCAUACAAAGGAAUUAUCCAUUUCGUUUUCUUUGGGUAUUCUCUUAUACUCAUAAUAGGCCCCCGGAUGUCCACGUCAUGAGAAAUACUGAUGCGAGCUCGAAAUUUCCUUUGGAGUGAGACAUGUGCUUUAAGGGACUUCAAGAUUUUGAAGAGGAUGAGGAUUGUGGUUUACCUCCCGAUUUGUUAAGGAUGGUGGAGCGAGAAGAGGAACAGAUCCUGCCACACAAAGAGACUACUGAGAUUGUGGCCCUAGAAGAGGGGAAGGAAGUUAAAAUUGGCACUUGCGUUAACGAGAAAACAAGACAGAGCCUCAUUGAGCUGUUACAAGAAUUCAAAGACGUAUUUGCAUGGUCAUACCAGGAUAUGCCUGGUCUAAGUACUGAUAUCGCAGUGCACCGUGUCCUUACAAAAAAGGAGUGCAAGCCAGUUCAGCAGAAGUUCAGAAGGAUGAGACCCGAUGUAGCAAUGAAAAUAAAGGAAGAAGUCAAGAAGCAGUUUAAUGCUGAAUUCCUACAGGUGGUUAAUUAUUCAGAGUGGGUUGACAAAGUCAUCCCUAACCCUAAGAAAGAUGGGAAAGUGCGGAUGUGUGUAGAUUACAGAGAUUUAAACAAGGUCAGCCCAAAGGAUAACUUUCCAUUGCCUCACAUAGACACUCUAGUGGAUAAUACAGCAGGCUAUUCACUGUUCUCCUUCAUGGAUGGGUUCUCCGGGUACAAUCAGAUCAAGAUGCAUCCUAAGGACAUAGAAAAAACCACAUUCAUAACUUUAUGGGGAACGUUUUGCUACAAGGUGAUGCCCUUCGGGUUGAAAAAUGCAGGAGUCACAUACCAAAGAGCCAUGGUAACCUUGUUCCAUGACAUGAUGCACAAGAAAAUUGAGGUCUACAUUGACGACAUGAUUGCAAAAUCCCGAACUGAAGAGAAGCAUGUACGAGUGUUUAGAAAAUUGUUCCUCAGGUUGAGAAAAUUCCAAUUAAAGCUCAAUCCGUCAAAAUGCACCUUCGGAGCUAGGUCCGAAAAGUUACUCGGCUUCGUAGUCAGUGAGAAGGGAAUAGAAGUUGACCUUGAUAAAAUCAAGGCUAUACAGGAGCUGCCUCCGCCACGAACUCAGAAAGAAGUCCGAGGUUUCUUAGGGAGACUAAACUACAUCGCACUAUUUAUUUCGCAACUGACUGAGAAGUGUGACCCCAUAUUCCAUCUUCUUAAAAAGCAUAAUCCUGGGGUAUGGGAUGAUAAAUGCCAAAAAAAACCUUUGAAAAGGUUAAACAAUAUUUGUCCAGUCCCCCAGUGCUAACACCACCAAGCCCUGGUAGACCAUUGAUACUGUACUUAACAGUAUUUGAUAAUUCGAUGGGGUGUGUGCUCGGUCAACACGAUGAGACUGGGAGAAAAGAAAGAGCGAUAUAUUACCUCAGUGAGUGUGAAAUGAGGUAUCUGCCAAUUGAGAAGCUAUGCUGUUCUUUGGUUUGGACAACACGAAGGUUGAGGCAAUACAUGUUGUACCAUACAACUUGGCUAAUUUCAAAGCUAGACCCUCUUAAAUACAUGAUGGAGUCAACCACUUUAAAUGGAAGGAUGGCCCGAUGGUAGAUUCUGCUCUCCGAAUUUGACAUAGUCUAUGUAAACCAAAAAGCUAUGAAAGGGAGUGUAAUAGUAGACUUCCUAGCCAAUAGAGCUUUGGAGGACUAUGAACCUUUGAAUUUUAAUUUCCCCAAUGAAGAUCUAAUGUAUGUAGCAAUCGCUGAAGGAAACGUGCCUGAAGAUUAUUCUUGGAAAUUAAAUUUUGACGGAGCAUCAAAUGCCGUUGGAAAUAGAGUUGGGGCGGUAAUGAUAUCCCCAAAUGGAGAUCAUUAUCCAUUCACUUACAAGCUGGAUUUUGACUGCACCAACAAUAUGGCAGAAUACGAGGCAUGUAUCAUGGGAAUUCGGGCAGCUAUAGACAGCGAAAUCAAAGUAUUAGAAGUGUAUGGAGAUUCUGCAUUGGUAAUUUAUAAGCUUAAAGGCGAGUAGGAAACGAGAGAUCCUAAAUUGAUUAGUUACCGAAAGUUAAUCUUGGAGUUAAUCGAAGAGUUUGAUGAUAUUACCUUUCAUUACCUCCCGCGAGACAAGAAUCAGAUGGCUGACGCCUUGGCCAUACUAGCUUCCAUGAUCAAAGUAAAUGAACAAGAGGUUAUGAAGCCAAUUCAGAUGAGUAUUUGUGAGGCUCCAGCUCACUGCUGUAAUGUCGAUGAAGAAGAAGAGAGAGAUGAUCAUCCUUGGUAUCAUGAUAUCUUACAAUAUGUGAAGAGCCGUGCGUACCUAGAUCAAGCAACCGAAAAUGAUAAAAGAACAUUAAGGAGGUUAGCCAGUGACUAUGUCCUAGACAGUGAGGUCCUAUAUAAGAAGAGAAAGGAUCAGGUGUUGUUAAGAUGUGUUGACGCUGUUGAGACAAAGAAAAUUCUAGAGGAAGUCCAUGAUGGUGUCUGUGGGACACAUGCCAAUGGUUUCACAAUGGCUCGACAAAUCAUGAGAUUCAAAUAUUACUGGUCUACAAUGGAAGGAGAUUGCAUCAAUUACGCUAAGAAGUGCCAUAAGUGUCAAAUUUAUGGAGACAAGAUCCAUGUGCCUCCUUCACCCCUCUAUGUUAUGACUUCCCUAUGACCAUUCUCAAUGUGGGGCAUGGACGUCAUUGGGCCAAUUUCGCCAAAGGCUUCCAACGGAUAUCGAUUCAUUUUUAUGGUUACUACUUUACCAAAUGGGUAGAGGCUGUUUCGUACGCCAAUAUCACAAAGUCGGCGGUCAGCAAGUUCCUGAAGAAGGAGAUCGUAUGUCGUUAUGGUAUGCCAGAAAGAAUCGUAUCUGACAAUGCGUUGAAUCUGAACAAUAGCGCAAUAGCAGAAGUUUGCAGUCAGUUCAACAUUAAACAUCACAUGUAUGUAGCAAUCGCUGAAGGAAACGUGCCUGAAGAUUAUUCUUGGAAAUUAAAUUUUGACGGAGUAUCAAAUGCCGUUGGAAAUAGAGUUGGGGCGGUAAUGAUAUCCCCAAAUGGAGAUCAUUAUCCAUUCACUUACAAGCUGGAUUUUGACUGCACCAACAAUAUGGCAGAAUACGAGGCAUGUAUCAUGGGAAUUCAGGCAGCUAUAGACAGCGAAAUCAAAGUAUUAGAAGUGUAUGGAGAUUCUGCAUUAGUAAUUUAUCAGCUUAAAGGCGAGUAGGAAACGAGAGAUCCUAAAUUGAUUAGUUACCGAAAGUUAAUCUUGGACUUAAUUGAAGGGUUUGAUGAUAUUACCUUUCAUUACCUCCCGCGAGACAAGAAUCAGAUGGCUGACGCCUUGGCCAUACUAGCUUCCAUGAUCAAAGUAAAUGAACAGGAGGUUAUGAAGCCAAUUCAGAUGAGUAUUUGUGAGGCUCCAGCUCACUGCUGUAAUGUCGAUGAAGAAGAAGAGAGAGAUGAUCAUCCUUGGUAUCAUGAUAUCUUACAAUAUAUGAAGAGCCGUGCGUACCCAGAUCAAGCAACCGAAAAUGAUAAAAGAACAUUGAGGAGGUUAGCCAGUGACUAUGUCCUAGACAGUGAGGUCCUAUAUAAGAAGAGAAAGGAUCAGGUGUUGUUAAGAUGUGUUGACGCUGUUGAGACAAAGAAAAUUCUAGAGGAAGUCCAUGAUGGUGUCUAUGGGACACAUGCCAAUGGUUUCACAAUGGCUCGACAAAUCAUGAGAUUCGAAUAUUACUGGUCUACAAUGGAAGGAGAUUGCAUCAAUUACGCUAAGAAGUGCCAUAAGUGUCAAAUUUAUGGAGACAAGAUCCAUGUGCCUCCUUCACCCCUCCAUGUUAUGACUUCCCUAUGACCAUUCUCAAUGUGGGGCAUGGACGUCAUUGGGCCAAUUUCGCCAAAAGCUUCCAACGGAUAUCGAUUCAUUUUUGUGGUCAUUGACUACUUUACCAAAUGGGUAGAGGCUGCUUCGUACGCCAAUAUCACAAAGUCGGAGGUCAGCAAGUUCCUGAAGAAGGAGAUCGUAUGUCGUUAUGGUAUGCCAGAAAGAAUCGUAUCUGACAAUGCGUUGAAUCUGAACAAUAGCGCAAUAGCAGAAGUCUGCAGUCAGUUCAACAUUAAACAUCACAACUCAUCACCAUACCGCCCGAAAAUGAAUGGGGCGGUUGAGGCAGCUAAUAAGAAUAUCAAGAAGAUUGUGGGGAAGAUGGUGGAGACUUACAAAGAUUGGCAUGAAAAGCUCCCAUUUGCCCUUUAUGCUUAUCGGACAUCUGUCAGAACUUCUACUAGGGCAACACCUUUCUCAUUGGUUUAUGGGAUAGAGGCAGUUUUACCUAUUGAGGUCGAAAUCCCUUCUCUUCAAGUUUUAUCAGAGCUGAAGUUAGACGAAGCAGAAUGGAUCCAAUCUCGUUACGAUUAACUAAACUUGAUUGAAGAGAAGAGGCUGAAGGCUAUUCGUCAUGGUCAAUUGUACCAGAGGAGAAUGAUGCGAGCCUACAACAAAAAAGUUCACCCAGGGUGUUAUAUGAGGGGGACUUAGUAUUGAAAAAGAUUCUCCCUAUGCAAAAAUAUUUCAGGGGGAAAUGGAUGCCAAAUUGGGAAGGACUUUAUGUGGUAAAAAAGGCUUUCUCUAGAGGGGCAUUGAUACUAGCAAAGAUGGAUGGCAAGAGCUUGCCUAACCCGAUAAAUUCAGAUUUUGUCAAAAGAUAUUUUGCUUGAAGCAGUUGAGGUGAAAACCCGUAAAGAGCGCCAAAAAAAAGGAGAGGCCAAAGUGAAAACCCGUAAAAGGGCGCCUUGAGACCAAAGGGGUUUUGAAUUGAAAACCCGCAAAGGACAAUUCAACUUUCGAUCCAAACUGGGGCAAGCGGCAGUCUCACUACACUUGAAUCGACAAAGAGGAGAUAAGCUACAUCUUGGGGCAUCAACAAAAUGUUAUAGAUCCCUUGAGCGCGUGCCAAGUUUAAAAAGGUCCUCGAGGAGUUCGUGUAGAGAAGCUCAAACUGCGAAAUCUGGGGCACCUAUUCUGUUCCUUUUCAUCCGUUUUUGUAUCUCAAACAAUGUCUGCUUUCUUUGUUGAUACAUCUUUCGCAAAUUUUGACUCGAAUAAAUUUCAGUUCUACCUAUCAUUAUAAUCUUUUUCGAGUAUUUUUAUUGAAAUAAUGAUUAAUGAACUAAUAAUGCUCUCAAAAGAAGUUUUUGCAUAUUACUCUGAAAGGUUUCUAAACAAUACGAGAACCUGAAACAGGACAAUUAUUUAGAACUCACCGAGCUUAAAAGGGCUAGAAACGUGUGAAAAAUAAGGGAUUAACCGCAUCUUCAGGUCCUUUUCUACCGAGCUGAACAAGAAGGCAUAUAUCAGAGAUGUUACCUUAGUAAACAACGAGCGAUGACAGCCCAAAAUUAAAAUAGAUCAUUCUCAUGACAUUUUGCAUGUUGUGCAUUUAACAUCCAUAAUACAUGUAGUUAGGAGAAUUUGAUUCAUAUUAAUCAUGGCAUCCUAAUCAUCUAGCAUAAGCAUAUCACUCUCCUACAGAUGGAUUCCCCAGUGGACAAUGUAGCAGGAUUAUAGAUAUCAUAAGCCUUAUCUUCACUGAGCAGGAGUGGAGCAGGCUAAAUACCAGAUCUUAUCUUCACUGAGCAGGGGUGAAGCAGAUCAAAUUUUAGAUAAUCUUAUCUCCACGUACCGGCGAUGGAGCAGGUUCCAAUCAUCAACUUUAUCUUCACUGAGCAGGAGUGGAGCAGGCUAAAUAUAUCAGAUCUUAUCUUUAUUGAGCAGGAGUGAAGCAGAUCGAAUUUUGGAGAAUCUUAUCUCCACGUACCGGCGAUGGAACAGAUUCCAAUCAUUAGCUUUAUCUUUACUGAGCAGGAGUGGAGUAGGCUAAAUAUACUAGAUCUUAUCUUCGUUGAGCAAGAGCGGAUCAGAUAAAGUUCCAACAAAUCGUAUCUUCAUGAAACAGCUAUGAGACAUUUGGAAGCAAUAGGAUGCAGUGGGUUGUGAUAAAGUUACACCAAGAAGCGCCAAAGGAAGUCAAGAUUUGGCAAGACCGGGCAAAAUUUAUAACAGCCUAAUUUUUAGUAGUAUCGGGAAUAGAGAUUUGAGAUCACUAAAUCUGAUGGGUGAGUUGAAAAUUUAAUAAAUUAAUACCUAUGAGUCAAAUGUGAAUAUAAAAGCAUUUUUGAAUUAGUAAAUUUGGUGAUUUAAAAGAAUUAAUUAGGUAAAUUGGGUCGAGAAUAAGGUAUCGAGACCUCGACUUCAUAAAUCGAGCCAUAAAUAUUUUUAGAAAUAUUUAUGGAGUGUUGGUGAGGUAGUAAUAAAAUUUAGUCAGAAAAUUUUGACGUUUGGGUGGUUAAUUAAAUAAAAAGGACUAAAUUGAAAAGGGUGUAAAAGUUGCUAAAAUGAUUAAAUAGCUCAAUUUUCAAAUGAGAAGGACCUAAAGUGCAAAUAAGCCCAAAGGAGAUAUUUUGGGUGGCAAUAGCUGAGAAAAAUCAGGAAAUGGGUGAAAUAGGGCAAAAUUGGAAAAUUGACAAAAUUGGCUAAAUAAAAAUGGGACUAAAUUGGGAUAUCUAGAAUUCUCUUCAUUUCUCUUCAUAUUCAUCAGCUGAAAAACAUCCAUGGAGGAGGGUUCAAGCUGGUUUUCAUACUCUAGCUUCAUGUAAGUUUAAUUCUUGCUUUCUCCUUGACAUUUUUAUGUUUUUGGACUUUUACAAUUGGGUCCAACUUACUAUUUCAUUAGUUUGUGAUUCCAUGUCUAAUUUUUGAAGUUGUUAUGGAUGAGUGCUGGAAGUAUAUGAUGAUUUUGCAUGGAAUUAGAACUUUAAAUUGUUUAUAUUCUGAUUUUAUUGAAAGAAUUGAAUAGAAAGUGAAUGUUUGGGACCUAAUUGUAAAAGAGUUUGAAGUUAGAGUUUUAUGUGGAAAUUCUGAAUCUCAAUAGUUAUGAAAUAACUUAUAAUGUAAAGAAAAAGUAUUAAUUGAGAAAAUUAUCUUAAUUUAGGGGUUAAUUGAAUAAGGACUGAAUUGUAUGAAUUGUAAAAUUUGGGGUAAAAUGGAAAUCAACAUUUUGCACUAAAACUGUUUUGGGCAACAACAGUAGUUUAACUUUGAAAAAUCAUAAAAAAAUGUAGAAAUCGAAUUAGAGGAUGAAUAAAAUAUGAAAUUAAAGCUUAUUAAGUCUAGUUCCUUAUAAAAGAAAUUAUGUAAGCAAUGGAAUUGUAAAUCAUGAGAUACAAUAACUUUUGUGAGACAAGGUCAGAAUGAUUUCGGGUUCCCCUGUUCUGAAUUUGGAAAAUCAUCAAAAAUUGGAUAAAAAUAAUUAGAGGCUUAAAUUUAUAUGUUUAGAAUCUUGAAUGAGUCUAUUUUCAAGAGAAACAAACGAGGACAUCAUUCAAAUCUUGUACGAGAAGAUAAUUAAUUUUUAGUGAAGAAGGGUCGAAACUGUCAGACAGCAGAACAGGGGAGACUUCAAUGAAUAAACUGUAUUAAUUGGCCUAGCCAAAAAUUAUGAAAUUUUUAUGGUAAGAAUAAAUAUGAGUCUAGUUUCUGGAAAAAUUCAUGUAUCUUAAUUUGGAGUUCUGUGGCUCAAGAUAAAAAUAAUUUAGUGACUAUGACACAGAUGGACAGCUUGAAUAUUCACAUAAGUAGAUAGUGAAAAUUAUGGAUAAUGUUACCUACAAGUGUGUUGUUUAUACUAAGGAUGUGGAUGGAGAGGAGGAGGAGGAAAAUAUACAAAAAUAUAUGAAUAACUCGUGUAUAAAUUGAUCACAUGCCCGAUUAUAAUCGAUAAGUGUUGGAUUAGAAAUGAUAUAAUGUUUUAUUUGGUAUAUUUAUUAUGAAAUUAUGAUUAUCGUUAUAAUACAAAAAUUGAACUUGUGAGUUUAUAUGGAUAAAUUUUAGUGAUUAUUUGUUAAUUUUAUGAAUUUCAUAUUGUGUUAUUUCAUAUGUGUUGAUGAUAAAAUCGUGAAUAAUGUAAAAGCAUGAAAAUUGAAUAAAUGAUCAAAUUGAGAAUUUCAGUUCAGUGACAAGAUGAAUUGAAGGAAAAGACCAUGGUUGGACCAUGGAAACAAGUGAUAAGUGAUAGCUUCGGCUACACUUAUCUGAUCAAGGAAAAGUGAAAGUGAUAAGUGAUAGCUUCGGCUACACUUAUCUGAUCAAUGACAAAUGACAAGUGAAAAGUGGUAGCUUCAACUACCUGAUCAGUGAAAAGUGGUAGCUUCUGCUACCUGAUCACCGGCUACCUGAUCAGUGAAAAGUGGUAGCUCCGGUAGCUCCGGCUACCUGAUCAGUGAAUAGUGAUAGUUUCGGCUACAAGUGACAAGUGACAAGUGAUUUCCGUUUAAGACCAUAUUCCGUAUAAGACCAUAUCUAGGAUAUGGCAUCGGUGUGAUAUAUGCUACUGUAUAAGACCAUAUCUGGGAUAUGGCAUCAGUGAGAUAUGUGAUUCGUGUAAGACCAUAGCUGGGCUAUGGCAUCGAUAUAUGAAUAUGUGUAAGACCAUAGCUGGACUAUGGCAUCAUUAUGUGAAAAUGUGUAAGACCAUAGUUGAACUAUGGCAUCGAAAAAAUGAAGUACUCAAUUUCGUAAGACGUUCACUAAUUUGACAAAGUUUGGUAAGUGUUACAUGGAAUUAUGUGAUACAAGGAAGUACGAGUUGAUAAGAUACGAGUAUAGAACUUGGUUGAUAAAUGAAUUCAUUUGUGAUUAUUUAAUUAUUCAUCUUGAAUGUACUGUCCAUAUGUAUUGAUAAUUCAAAUGUUUUAAUGAAUAAAAUUCUGAUAUGGGAUAAAUUGAACACGAGACAAAUAAUUAUAAAAUUGAACUCGAAAUUCAUGAAAAUGACGGUUAUUGAUAUAUGGAGACAUGAGACAUUGAUAUAUGAAUAUGGAAAAUGUUUGAUAAAUGUGUUUAUUCAUAAUUAUAGGAUUAUAUACCUCAUGUGUACUAUUUGCAUAAAGAUGAUAUUUCAAAUACUUUGGUUAUUUAAGAUUAAAUAGGAAAUAGUCUGAAAUCAAGAUAAGUUGUUAUGAAAAUAUAUUUAGAUUACAGAGAUAUGGCUGAUAUAUGUUGUAUGAUUACAUAACGUGAAAUUGUGUAUAUAUAUGAGAAAUUGAAUGAGAAUUAAGCCCAAACACGUUUCUUGUUAUUUAUAUGAAGUGUACGACUGACAAGGGUGAUGAAGUUAUAAACAGAGAAUUACACGGGUUGAAAACACGAGCGUGUGACUCUCCAAAGUGUGAAAAUUUUCUAAGUGUUGCAAAAGUUUCAUAUGUUUACGGUUUGGUCCCGAACUAUCCUGAAUGUAUGUUUUGGGCCCCGUAGGCCCAUAUAAGGGACGUUAAACAUAUGUAUGAAAGUUUUUAAUUUAGAAAAAAAAUUUAUGGCUGAUUUUUUUUACAUGAUUGAUCAUAUUAAGUUUGGUAAUGCCUCGUACCUUAUUCUAGGCUCGGAAUACGGGUAGGGGGUGUUACAAAAUUGGCCCAUUUAGAGUCUUUGCUCCAUUCUCGUUACACGACAAUGAGCAAAGAGGGGUAGCUGUAGACCCAAUUUUCAGCCAGGCCUAAACCACCAGGAACCCAAAACCAAAUACAAGCCAAUUAAAGCCUAAAUACCUACAUUGAAGUCCAAAUCACAUCUCAAAUCAAACACCUAAAACAAAAUUAUAGACCAAGCCCAAUUACAUAAACCCCAACAGCCCAAAAAAAUAAUAAAAACAAAAACACCAUCAGCCGUCACAACCCAGGGCAGUCUCCAGGCACAGCACGUCUCGCGCUUCCUCCGCGUCAUGCGCUGCUCCACCAUGCCACAUCAGUGAUGCACUCAUGCACGUAC